rnacentral:rRNA from 1 species
GACGAACGCUGGCGGCGUGCUUAACACAUGCAAGUCGAACGGAAAGGCCCUGCUUUUGUGGGGUGCCCGAGUGGCGAACGGGUGAGUAACACGUGAGUAACCUGCCCUUGACUUUGGGAUAACUUCAGGAAACUGGGGCUAAUACCGGAUAGGAGCUCCUGCUGCAUGGUGGGGGUUGGAAAGUUUCGGCGGUUGGGGAUGGACUCGCGGCUUAUCAGCUUGUUGGUGGGGUAGUGGCUUACCAAGGCUUUGACGGGUAGCCGGCCUGAGAGGGUGACCGGCCACAUUGGGACUGAGAUACGGCCCAGACUCCUACGGGAGGCAGCAGUGGGGAAUAUUGCACAAUGGGCGGAAGCCUGAUGCAGCAACGCCGCGUGCGGGAUGACGGCCUUCGGGUUGUAAACCGCUUUCGCCUGUGACGAAGCGUGAGUGACGGUAAUGGGUAAAGAAGCACCGGCUAACUACGUGCCAGCAGCCGCGGUGAUACGUAGGGUGCGAGCGUUGUCCGGAUUUAUUGGGCGUAAAGGGCUCGUAGGUGGUUGAUCGCGUCGGAAGUGUAAUCUUGGGGCUUAACCCUGAGCGUGCUUUCGAUACGGGUUGACUUGAGGAAGGUAGGGGAGAAUGGAAUUCCUGGUGGAGCGGUGGAAUGCGCAGAUAUCAGGAGGAACACCAGUGGCGAAGGCGGUUCUCUGGGCCUUUCCUGACGCUGAGGAGCGAAAGCGUGGGGAGCGAACAGGCUUAGAUACCCUGGUAGUCCACGCUGUAAACGGUGGGUACUAGGUGUGGGGUCCAUUCCACGGGUUCCGUGCCGUAGCUAACGCUUUAAGUACCCCGCCUGGGGAGUACGGCCGCAAGGCUAAAACUCAAAGGAAUUGACGGGGCCCCGCACAAGCGGCGGAGCAUGCGGAUUAAUUCGAUGCAACGCGUAGAACCUUACCUGGGUUUGACAUGGAUCGGGAGUGCUCAGAGAUGGGUGUGCCUCUUUUGGGGUCGGUUCACAGGUGGUGCAUGGCUGUCGUCAGCUCGUGUCGUGAGAUGUUGGGUUAAGUCCCGCAACGAGCGCAACCCUUGUUCACUGUUGCCAGCACGUUAUGGUGGGGACUCAGUGGAGACCACCGGGGUCAACUCGGAGGAAGGUGGGGAUGACGUCAAGUCAUCAUGCCCCUUAUGUCCAGGGCUUCACGCAUGCUACAAUGGCUGGUACAGAGAGUGGCGAGCCUGUGAGGGUGAGCGAAUCUCGGAAAGCCGGUCUCAGUUCGGAUUGGGGUCUGCAACUCGACCUCAUGAAGUCGGAGUCGCUAGUAAUCGCAGAUCAGCAACGCUGCGGUGAAUACGUUCCCGGG